AACGAAGAGCACAAAGAAUAAUGCAGAGAAAUGAAUUUGUGACUUGGAAGCUAGAAUAUAGUAAAUCACAAAAUCAGGACAGCAGACAGAAAAAAAAGGAAAAACAUGAAAGCAAUAUGAGAUCUAUGGGAUAAUGUAAAGUGGGCCAAACUAUGCAUAAAAACCGGCCAAUCCAUAUAAUCCAGAAGAAGAAAAAGAAAAGGGGAUUGAUUUUUCUUUUGUUAAUGUGCUGUAUGGUGUUGAUUGAUUUGCGUAUGUUGAACCAUCCUUGUGAACCUUGGAUGAAUCCCACCUGGUCAUGGUGUACGAUCUUUUUGAUAUGUUGUUGGAUUCAGUUGGCUAAAAUUUUGUUGAGAAUUUUCGCAUCUAUAUUCAUAAAAGAUAUUGGCCAAUAGUUUUCUUUUUUGGUGGUAUCUUUGUCUGGUUUUCGAAUUAGGGUGAUGGUAGAAAAUGUCUUUGGGAGUGUUUCUUCUUCAACAUUUUGAAAAAGUUUAAGGAGGGUGGGCUCCAGUUCCUCCUUCUAUGUUUGGUAGAAUUCGCCUGUGAAGCCAUCUGGUCUUGGACUCUUAUUUGUAUGGAGUGAUUUUAUGACAUUGAAUUUCAUUUUUGGUGAUUGGUCUCUUCUGUUGAUCUAUUUCUUCUUGAUUCAGUUUUGGCAGGCUUUAAGACUCUAGAAAGUUGUCCAUUUCUUCCAGAUUGUCAAAUUUGUUGUCAUACAAAUGUCCAUAGUAUUCUCUUAUGGUUUCUGUAUUUCUGCAGUAUCCAUCAUGAUUUCUCCUUUUUCUCAUUUGUUAUUUUGUUUAUUUGGGUUCUUUUUCUCCUCUUCUCGUGAGUAUAGCCAGAGGUUUGUCAAUUUUGUUUACCUUUUCAAGGAACCACCUCUUGGUUUGAUUGAUUUUUUCUAUUAUUUUUUGAAUCUAUAUUUUAUUGAUUUCCUCUUUGAUCUUUAUGAUUUCAUGCCUUCUGCUGACUUUAGGGUUUUUUGUUGUUCUUCUUUUUCUAAUUCAUUUAGGUGGUGGGUUAAGUUGUCAUUUGAGAUCUUCUUUUCUGAGCAAGGCCUGUAUUGAUAUGAACUUCCCUCUGAGCAAUGCUUUUGCAGCAUCACCUAGAUUAUGAGAAGUUGUGUCUUCAUUACCAUUUGUCUUGAGGUAUUUUUUAAUUUCCUUCUUGAUUUCCUCAUUGACCCAUUGGUUUUUUGGUAGCAUGUUGUUUAGUCUCCUUGUAGUAGGUUUUUUCUCAUUUCUUUUCAUGUGGUUGAUUUCUAGAUUCAUGGCACUGUGGUCAGAGAAGAUACUUUAAAUAAUUUCUAUACUCAUAAAUUUGUUAGAGUUAGCUAUGUGCCCCAUUAUGUGACCAAUUCAUGAGAAUGCACACCUGAGAAAAUGUGUAUUCUGAUUUUUUUGUAUGUAAUGUCCUGAAAAUUACAAUUAAGUCAAAAGCAUGAUCAUCUCAAUAAAUGCAAGAAAGGCAUUUGACAAAGUCCAACAUCCGUUAGUGACCAAAACUCUCCAAAGUGGGUAAAAAGGGACCAUUCUUUAACAUAAUCAAAGCCAUUUAUGACAAACCCUCAGCAAAUAUAAUACUCAAUGCAGAAAAAACUAAAAGCCUUCCCUCCAAAAUCUGGAACAAGACAAGGAUGCCAAAUCUCACCACUGCUAUUCAACAUAGUAUUGUAAGUCCACAACAAUCAGAAAAACAAAAGAAAUAAAAGGCAUACAAAGAGGAAGAGAACACGUAAAACAGUCCCUGUAUGGAGAUGACAUGACACUAUAAAUAGAAAACUCUAAGGACUCAAUCAAAAAAUUACUUGAACUGAUCAAAAAAUUCAGCAAAGUAGCAGGAUAUAAGAUUAACAUUCAGAAAUCAGUUGCGUUUCUGUAUACUCUCAAUGCAACUUUAGAAAAGGAAUACAAAAUCACAAUAUCUCCUAAAAUUGCACACAAAAAAUCAAAUACCUGGGAAUACACCUGACCAAGGAGGCAAAGGACCUAUGUACCAAGAACUGUAAAACAUUAAUCAAGGAAAUUAAAGAAGAUGUAAAGAAAUGGAAAUAUAUUCCGUGUUCCUAGAUUGGAAAAAUUAAUUUCAUAAAAAUGAGCACAUGACCCAAAACAAUCUACAGAUUCAAUGCAAUCCCUAUUAAAUUACCCACUAGAUUUUUCACAGAACUAGAACAAACAAUCCAAACAUUUAUAUGGAACCACAAAAGACCCAGAAUUGCCAAAGCAUUCUGAGGAACAAAAAAACAUGCAGGAGGAAUAACUCUCCCAGACCUCAAGCAAUAUUACAGAGCCACAGUCAGCAAAAAAGUGUGGUACUGGGACCAAAACAGACAUACAGACCAAUUGAAGAGAAUAGAGAACCCAGAAAUAAACUCUGACACCUACAGUCAAUUAAUCUUUGAAGGAGUCAAGAACAUAAAAUUGGGAAAAGACAGUCUUUUCAGCAAAUAUUGCUGGGAAACCUGGACAGCUGCAUGCAAAGCAAUGAAACUAGAACACACCCUCACACCAUGAACCAAAAUAAACUCCAAAUGGCUGAAAGACUUAAAUAUAAGACAAGAUAUAAUCAAACUCCUAGAAGAGAACAUAGGCAAAACAUUCUCCGACAUCAAUGUCAUGGAUAUUUUCUCACGUCAGUCUCCCAAAGCAACAGAAAUAAGAGCAAAAAUAAACCAGUGGUUCCUAAUCAAACUGACAAGCUUUGCACAGCAAAGGAAACCAACAAGAAGACAAAAAGACAACUUAUAUAAUGGGAGAAAAUAGUUUCAAUAUAGUAUAAUUGACGGAAUCGUGGCCUAAAACUUUCCAAAUCUAAAGGAAACAGAUGUCAAGAUACAGAAAGCACAGAGAGCCCUAAACAUGUCGAUCCCACACAGGUCCAGAUCAAGACGUAUUAUAAUGAAAAUGGAAAUAGUUAAAGAUAAAAAGCUGAUUCUAAAGGCAGCAAGAGAAAAACCAAGUUAAUUACAGUUAUAACCCCCAUAAGGCUAUCAGUUAUUUUCUCUACAGAAACACUGAAUACCAGAGAGAGUGGCAAGAUAUAUUCAGGUUCCAAAAGGGAGAAUUUAUCAGCCUAGAAAACUCUACCCAGCAAGAAUAUCAUUUAAAAUUGAAGGAGAAAUAAAGAAUUUCUCUAACAAACAAAAAACUAAAAGAGUACAACAAUACUAAAUCCAUUCUAUAAGAUAUACUGAAAAGGAUCCUGAAAAUAAAAAAAAAUAGGAUGGAGAAAUUCACUUAAAUAGGCCAGUAUAAAUAUCUAAAAGAAAAAAAGUCUAUUGUAAAAGUUAUGAUAAACACAAGGAACAGCAAAAGGAUAAACUUGAAGAUGUUAAGAAAGGACUUCAAAAUCAUAUUAUGUGGGAAAGGAAAGUAAGAAAAUCUAGACUGUUUUUUAGAAUAUGAUUUAGCCUAUAUGACUAUCAGGCUAAAGCAAGCAGAUAUAGGAAGAGAUUAACAUACUUGAAAAACAGGGCAAACACAAAUCAAAACCAAAUAUUAUAUUCACAAAAAAACUAAAGUGAAAAGGACACAAGCAUAAAAUAAAAGGAAAUCAUCC
rnacentral:lncRNA from 1 species